UACGUAGGGGGCAAGCGUUGUCCGGAAUCAUUGGGCGUAAAGAGCGUGUAGGCGGCUCGGUAAGUCCGCUGUGAAAGUCCAGGGCUCAACCCUGGAAUGCCGGUGGAAACUGUCGAGCUAGAGUCCGGAAGAAGCGAGUGGAAUUCCUGGUGUAGCGGUGAAAUGCGCAGAUAUCAGGAGGAACACCAAUGGCGAAGGCAGCUCGCUGGGACGGUACUGACGCUGAGACGCGAAAGCGUGGGGAGCAAACAGG
rnacentral:rRNA from 1 species